rnacentral:lncRNA from 1 species
CUGUAGGACUAGCCCAAGCAGGAGACCAAAAUUGGCUUUGUCAUGCAGAUGGAUAUUUGCAAACCAAUAACCAGCCUAAGCUGCAGGUGCAGUGAGAAGAGGGGAAGAGGCAGGACAGGCACUGACUUUGUGUUAGCUCAGACCAACCUAAUGCUGCACAAGGGCAGGUAGCAAGAACCCAGCCAGAUUACCUUCCCUCAAAUUCAUCUCCUGCCCCUAAUUCAAAUGGACUCAGAGGCCCAUAAAGCCAGUUCCAAUUAGGGCUCUUUAUUCCUCUGCAGUAAAACUUGAAACUUUCAUUUGAUUCAGUAAAAUUCUUAACAUUUUUUUAAUUUCCCUCUUUAAAAAACCUUUUUUACAUGGUGUAAAUGUAACAGUGACUUAGUAGUGACAAAUAUAUUCCUAAUUAAAACAACCAUUUUAUUGCAUAUUAUCAGCUUAAAAAUGUUGAAAGCCUGAGAUCUGUCAGGGAAAUACAUUGCCUUGUUUACAGGUGUUGUGCUGAGAGACCUGAUCUUCCUGGUGCAAAUGAGUCAGAAAUGACUGGUAUUAAGAUUAGGCAGGAGUUAUUAGGCUUUAUGGCUGGGGUUCCUGUUUCCUUUGAAGUAUUACUCUACCUGUAUUUGUAUUUACAUGUUCAUGUAUAUAUGUGCACAUGUGUGUAUAUACAGACAGGGUAGUUUCCCCUGAAAGGUAAGAACUGUCUAUGUGAUGUGAAUCCUCUCUCACCUCCAUCACUAAAAUAUUCCUCUGAAAUUUCUAUGUCAGAAAAGAGCCUGAAACUUCUAAGUGUUAAAGGCAAAUACUCCUCAGAGAGGUGAAAUAGGAAACUCUUAUCGGUAAUAAAUGACUGAAUGGAAACACCUAUCUUCUCCAAAGCUGAGAAUAAAGCAUGGAGGCCAUGGGAGUUUUGAUGGAAGGUGCACUGAAAUCAUAAAUUGGAACCUGGCACUCUAGGCACCAUGAUGGAAAGAUCUAGAUUAGUGGGCCAGCUGUUAACCAAAGACCAGAUUUUCAAUUUUACAACCUUUCAGAGGCCAGCCCUGAUUCCUAACCAAAUCAUAUAUUAAAGUUGGGCUUUACUUCUCCCCACAUGGACAGGCUUCUCCACAACUUGUCUUGGCCCAGCCCACUACCCCAGAAGUUGGUUGUCAUUAUUUUAUAAAAACAAUGUUCCUAUUAAUGUGGGAUAUUCGUCUUGUAAGUUUAUUUUCUAAUGACGAGAAUGGAUGCAUAUAGACCGAGCCACACUCUUUUGCUUGGAUCACCUCAACAUCAAAGUUUGUAUAAAGAGGCUGGGACUGGGACUAAAGUGUAGGUUAUCUGUGGCUCUGUAAUGAGAAUGAUCUAAAUUGUGCAUCCUUCUGUUCAACCAUUUUUUUUUAUCAGUUCAUUCAUCUAUUCGUCUAUUCAACAGCUAUUUCCUGAGCACCGACCUGUGCUGGGCCCUGUGCUGGCAACUAGGGAUAUAAGAGCAAAAAAGGGAGCUCUGGUCCUGCUCUCAUGAUGAUAAGACCUGGUAGUUCAUUGGAAAUAUGUCAUCCAUCCUAAAAGGGCAGUGAAUAGAGUCACCAAUUCUGUCUCUGUUUUACCAUGUGACCUCAGGAAACUCUCUUGCUCUCUAAGCCUCAUGUUCCUCUUCUGGGCUUUAGACUUGAUGCUCUCCAAAGUCUAUACCACUGUUUCUUGUGGACUCCAACCAAACAUGACCUGCUGAUUGGCAGUCAUGCUUCUCUGCAACAGAGAAACAUCUGGAUCCCUAAGAAACACCUCUGGGGGAUUUGGAAGUUGGUGAAAUUGUGUCACUGGGGAUGAAUCCACUAGAGACUCUGGCUUUUUUCCAUUCUUCCUUCAUUUUCCUAAACCUCUGCUAUCUACUGGCUAGAGAAAGGAAUUUGUAUGCCCAAGCAUUCUCAGUGUGUAUUUUUCAAGCCUAUGAGUCCUAAGAUGGGAGGAAGAGGGUGCAGACUUAGAGAUUCCUUUUCCAACCUUACUUUUGAGGGAACUGACCUUAAAUCCAGGAACAAAGUAACUUGAUUAAAAUCCCACAGCAAAAAGGAGUCAAUCUAGGGCCAAGAUGUACAUCUCCAGACUUGCAGUGGCAUGCUCCUCCUGACACCAGCAUGCUGCCACAGUGUUCCACUCUCCCUGUCACUGCGUCCUCAUGAUCCAGGGGGGAAAGAGCAAACUGAGAGUCCAUGCUUUCUCACCAAUCCACUGUGCAGCCAGUUUACUUAACCCCAGUGGCCUCAGUGCCCAUAGCUGCAAGAGGAGAGAUGUCUAAUGCACAAUGCUGUUGUGCAGACAGAAUCCUGGUCAGAGGUCAUCCAAAGGAGCUUUUAAACCAGACAGUGCUACAUCCACGCAAACCACUGGAAUCAUUGAUGUUAGAAAUGGUAGCAGUAGUAAUAGCCGUAGUAAAUCUUAAAUGUGUGGCAGCCACAUUGCCUCCAUGGUGUCCACAAAAAAAUGUGUUUUGUAAAACUAGAUUAUAUCUUUUAAGAUUCCUGAAGUAUUCUAGGAAUAAAUGAUAUAAGGGUUUGUGUAUAAAACACAAAUAAAUGUAGAUCAGUAGCUCACCCACAGAGGGCAUCUGUCACUGCUUCCAUCACUAAUGUGAUCCACUGUGGCCCCCUCAUGUGCCAUAAGUGUGUCAGAGUCCACUUGGACUCUGACUUUGGAGCUGACUAUGUUCAGAUUUGUUGCUCUAAUGCAUUGGAUUUAUUCUUAUUAUUUCUGUUAUUAUUACUAUUACUACUACUAUUAUUAUUAUUAUUAUUAUUAUUGGCAGCAGCAGCAUUAUUAACAUAGGAUUAGCAGUAGCAUUUUUGAGAGGGAGCUUUGUGCCUCCAAGUGGUUGAUUUCCUGGUCUUCUAUGAACAUGCUAUUUCCUCAGUUCAGGAAAAUACCAUUCUCAGAAAAAUUGGAAAAUUAAUCAUUGGACCCAUCCAGCCCCCUCUCCUUCCAGCCCUUGGGAUAGGAUUUAUUUAUGGAAAGUGCCAGCUUCAGAGUCAGAAAACUAGUUUCUGCUUUAUGUUCCAAAUUCCCCAAAUACCUACCUGGGUCUCAGUUUUCUCCUUGAAUACAUAGAGCCAGUAUCUUUUUUUUUUUCCCUCCUCAUGAAGGGUUUUGAGAAGAAAAUGGAAGGCAAAAUAAAAGUUAUUAUAAACAUCAUAUGUUUAAAAAGAGUGAAGUAUAUACCAGAUAAUUGUAUAAUAUAGAAGGAAACUAGAAACUAGCCAAUACUUAAAAGUCUUUAUUUUGUGCCAGAUGCUGUUCUAAGCACUCUGCCUAAAAUAAACACUAUUGACUAGUAAUAACGAGAAAGCGUAAAUUUAAUAGAAAUUUAUCCAUAUGGCUAUUCACAAUUUUCAAACACAGUAUCAGCACUUUCCACUUCUCUCUACACUCAGCUCUGUCUCAAUUCCAGGACAGGAAGUAAGAGUUCACUGAGCCUCAUAUGAUCUGUAGGAAAUUCUGUGCAGACUGCUCUGCCCCUCCAGGGCCUUAAAUGAUUGGCUCCUGACCUUUGUACUCCUCAGUUCAGCAGAUGAAAAAACAGUCUUUCCCACAGAAGGGGAAGAGAGUGAAAUUGUUUGCUUUCCUUCUAAUAUAAUUCCCCUUGCCAGGAUUAUGAUGUCAGCUGUAGUUGUAAACCCCAUGGAUAAAAAGAUAACUUAAAAUGCACAUUUCAUUCCAUUUGUGAGUAUUUCAAAGGACUGCAGGGUUGAUCAGGAGACAGGAGGGCAAUAACAUGAUAGUUAUUCAAAGAACCAGAGAACUGGAUGGCUUUGUUCAACCACUGCUGAAAGGAAGUAUCCACAACUAGAAGGUUUAAAAUAUUGGCUCCCAGGUGCAGGAUCUAAAUACACCCUUUCUGUUGUUAUUGUCUUUGUUUCUUUCUCCAGAAGGUAAUAUCUGACGUGUAAUAACUGGAAGUUUCCAAGACAAACAUCCACGAACAACUCCCAAAAGGGAUGGAGCAUGACUGGGUCCAAUAGAAUGCACAGUCUUGUUGGUCAUUGGUGGAUAUAACAUAAGAACGAAAAAGAAGGUGGAGAAUGCUGACAGAUCAAGGUCUAUGAGGAGCACUGGGGGCACCCAUCAUGAAGCAGAAGAAGCUGCUGUGGGCAGCUGUGCAGGACCAGGUGCAGGGCUCUUCCUGGAGAAUGUGGGGGCCAUUGUGAGCCAGCCUUUCAACCCCUUCAUGCCCAAGGCUGCCUCAGGGAAUGGACCAGAUGAGAUGAUGCCCAAUCCAGGCCCAGCACUGGCCCCACAGGCAAGAACAAGGACAAAGCACUGCCCAGCUUCUACAUCUCAUUGCUGACCCCAAGGCCAAGUCCAUGAAGCUGGAAAGGCCAUCGUGCAUCGUGACCUGCCCUGCCCCACAUCCAGGAAGCUGCUGCACAUAUCUGACCUCACGCCAGUGUGCUUCAAGGCUGGACAGCUCGGUGGCUACGCAGGGCUCAUGGCACACAGCAGGAGCUACGCAUGCACAGUGACCCACAGUAGACUGAACAACACAUGCCAUGUGCAAUUCUGUGGCCCUCAAGGGCCAUGCCACCCUGGAGUUCAUGGAGAAGCUGAUUUGCAAGACUUAAUGGACCCCAUGGAUGGAAAGAAUCUCAUGGACCACAACACCAUCAUGCUGCAUCUGGGUGGCCCGGGCUUAACGGACUCAAGAGUGAAGCUAGGAGUUCCCGUCAUGGCUCAGUGGUUAACAAAUCCGACUAGGAACCAUGAGGUUGUGGGUUCAAUCCCUGACCUCGCUCAGUGAGUUAAGGAUCCAGCAUUGCCGUGAGCUGUGGUGUAGGUCACAGAUGUGGCUCGGAUUCCGUGUUGCUGUGUCUGUGUGGUGUAGGCCAGCAGUUAUAGCUCCAAUUGGACCCUAGCCUGGGAAUCUCCAUAUGCCUCGGGUG